rnacentral:rRNA from 1 species
GUGCCAGCAGCCGCGGUAAUACGUAGGGUGCGAGCGUUAAUCGGAAUUACUGGGCGUAAAGCGUGCGUAGGCGGUUGGCAAAGUCAGCUGUGAAAGCCCCGGGCUCAACCUGGGAAUGGCGGUUGAAACUAGUCGACUCGAAUCUGGCAGAGGGGGGUGGAAUUCCACGUGUAGCAGUGAAAUGCGUAGAGAUGUGGAGGAACACCGAUGGCGAAGGCAGCCCCCUGGGCUGAGAUUGACGCUCAGGCACGAAAGCGUGGGGAGCAAACAGGAUUAGAUACCCUGGUAGUCCACGCCCUAAACGAUGUCAACUAGGUGUUGGGAGCGCAAGUUCUUGGUACCGCAGCUAACGCGUGAAGUUGACCGCCUGGGGAGUACGGUCGCAAGAUUAAA